rnacentral:rRNA from 1 species
GACGAACGCUGGCGGCGUGCCUAACACAUGCAAGUCGAGCGGGGAGCGGUUUUCGGAUUUCUCUUUAGCGGCGGACGGGUGAGUAACACGUGGGUAACCUGCCUCAAAGAGGGGGAUAGCCUUCCGAACGGAAGAUUAAUACCGCACAAUAUCAGGAAGCUGCCUGGCAUUCUGAUUAAAGGAGCAAUCCGCUUUGAGAUGGACCCGCGGCGCAUUAGCUAGUUGGUGAGGGAACGGCCGACCAAGGCGACGAUGCGUAGCCGACCUGAGAGGGUGAUCGGCCACAUUGGAACUGAGACACGGUCCAGACUCGUACGGGAGGCAGCAGUGGGGAAUAUUGCACAAUGGGGGAAACCCUGAUGCAGCAACGCCGCGUGAGUGAUGAAGGCCUUCGGGUCGUAAAGCUCUUUGAUCAGGGACGAUAAUGACGGUACCUGAAAAACAAGCCACGGCUAACUACGUGCCAGCCGCCGCCGUAAGAC